GACACUGACGUCGCGACGCAUAUCAAUAAGCGGAGGAAAAGAAACUAACAUAGGAUUCCCUCAGUAACGGCGAGUGAAGCGGGAAGAGCUCAAAUUUGAAAUCUUCAAGGUUCUACCUUGACGAAUUGUAGUUUAAAGAAGUGUUUUCUGUAGUGGAGUUUGGUAAAAGUUCUUUGGAAUAGGACAUCAUAGAGGGUGAGAAUCCCGUAUUUGGUCAUUCCUUCUAGCUUUGUGAUACACUUUCAAAGAGUCGGAUUGUUUGGGAAUGCAGUCCAAAAUGGGUGGUAAAUUUCAUCUAAAGCUAAAUAUUGGCGAGAGACCGAUAGCGAACAAGUACCGUGAGGGAAAGAUGAAAAGAACUUUGAAAAGAGAGUUAAACAGUACGUGAAAUUGUCAAAAGGGAAGCGUUUGACACCAGUGUUGUUUUUCCGAAAAUCAAUUAUAAAUGUUUUGUUUCUGAGGAGUGAUGACUUCAUCGGCUUCCUUCUCUCUUCACGAAACUUUUGUAAUGCACUUUUCGGUUAACAAGUCAACAUCAAUUUCUUUUGUUGUAAAAGAGUAUUCGGAAGGUGGCUUUCUUUUCGGAGAAAGUGUUUAUAGCCCUAUACUUCUACAAUCGGAGAGAUUGAGGUCUGCAGCGUAGAUCCUUCGGGGUUAGAUACACUUGUGCUAAGCUAUAGCUUUUCAUAGACAACUUGUUGACUAUGUUUAGUCUUGUAGCUUACUCGCUUGUGCUAUUUUACCUACGCUUAGGAUGUUGAGUCGUAGAGCACGCAG
rnacentral:rRNA from 1 species